CAGUAGGGAGGGGAGCGCCAGCGGGAGGGAAGCAAACGGCGGGACCAGCGGCGGCGGUAGCAGCAGUAUGGCCGCGCUCUACGGGGGUGUGGAGGGGUCUUCAGUGACCUCUUUCUGAUAUUCCUGAAAAUGCUGAUCAGUGAAGAAGCACUCAUCACAACACCACAGACCUCGCUCCAAGCUACCAUUUCCCCAGGGGAGGCACACGGUCCAAGGUCCUUUUACUCUCAGAGGAUGGGCAGAUCCUGGCAGAAGCGGAUGGACUCAGCACAAACCACUGGCUGAUCGGGACGGACAAGUGUGUGGAGAGGAUCAACGAGAUGGUGAACAGGGCCAAACGGAAAGCAGGGGUGGAUCCUCUGGUACCUCUACGAAGCUUGGGCCUAUCCCUGAGCGGUGGGGAUCAGGAGGACGCGGUGAGGAUCCUGAUGGAGGAGCUGAGGGACCGAUUUCCCUACCUGAGUGAAAGCUACUUAAUCACCACCGACGCGGCCGGCUCCAUCGCCACAGCUACGCCGGAUGGUGGCAUCGUGCUCAUCUCUGGGACAGGCUCCAACUGUAGGCUUAUCAACCCCGAUGGCUCUGAGAGUGGCUGUGGCGGCUGGGGCCACAUGAUGGGAGAUGAAGGCUCAGCCUACUGGAUUGCACACCAAGCAGUGAAAAUAGUGUUUGACUCUAUUGACAACCUAGAGGCGGCGCCUCACGACAUUGGCUACGUCAAACAGGCCAUGUUCAACUAUUUCCAGGUGUUUAGGACACAGCUGCCUUUAGCUGAACCAGAGGUGACAGGUGGGAGAGGAGAAGGGAGGUGAGCUUAUUUGAUAGAUGUGUCUCCAGAUGAAGGCCACUCAGGUGAGCUGGGGCUGGAGCCAAGGAUGAUUCAAGCUGCUGGAAAGUAAGGUUUGUGUUCUCUUGUGUUCUCAAGGCUUAGGGAUUGAUGAUGAAAGAGGGAUUCUGGCCUGGGCCAAAGAAAGGAAUGGGGAGGGACCAGGAAGAGAACUCACUUCCUAGAGCGUUGCUGUUGCGAGUGGAGUUAAGCUGUCCAGACUCAGCAGAUUGGAUCUGAACUCCACUAAUAUGUCUACUACUGCUUCUCUUAUCUUUCAACCAUGAAGUUGUUAGAGGUUAGAUGACAUAGUGCGUCUAACACAAUAUGUUGCUGUAGAUGCUCCAAUUUUAGCCCCCUACUCCCUCUUCCAUUUUGGUAAUUAUUCUAGGGAGUCUCUGCUUCCUGAGGACCUUCAAAGGCAUUACAGGUGCCAGAUCGGCUAGGAAUCCUCACCCACCUGUAUAGGGACUUCGAUAAAUGCAGGUUUGCUGGCUUCUGCCGGAAAGUUGCAGAAGGUGCUCAGCAGGGAGACCCCCUCUCCCGCUAUAUCUUCAGGAAGGCAGGGGAGAUGCUGGGCAGACACGUUGUGGCAGUGCUGCCUGAGAUCGACCCGGUCUUGUUCCAAGGGGAGAUUGGCCUCCCCAUCCUGUGUGUGGGCUCUGUGUGGAAGAGCUGGGAGCUGCUGAAGGAAGGUUUCCUUUUGGCGCUGACCCAGGGCAGAGAAAUCCAGGCUCAGAACUCCUUCUCCAGCUUCACCCUGAUGAAGCUGCGGCACUCGUCCGCCCUGGGCGGGGCCAGCCUAGGCGCCAGGCACAUUGGGCACCUCCUCCCCAUGGACUACAGUGUCAAUGCCGUUGCCUUCUACUCCUAUGCCUUCUCCUAGGGGGUGGCCCCGGCUCCACCCGCUCCAAGCCCAGGGGACAUUGGGUGCCGGAAGACAGGAGGGUUUUUCUCCUUUUCCUUUUUUUUUUUUUUUUAAAGAAACAUAGAGAAAAUAAAUGCACUUUACCCACUCCCCAGUUGGAUUAUGUUAUCAAGCACAUCUGCUGUGUACAUCCCCAGCUCACCCACCAACAGGCAUCCCAGAAGGCUCAGAAAUGGGUUUAGCCCAGGGUUUACAGCCCUGCUCCCAGGCGCUUGGCCUGUGGUCUGUAAUCUGCUCACCAGGCAGGUAGGCAGAUAAUUUAUCUAUAUGCUGCCCCUGCCCCCCACAUUAGGUACUUCUGCGCCUUGUGGCUGCCUGUGAUCUCAAUUUUCUCUUAUCAAAGUGGGUUAAGAACCCUGCCUGACCAUUUUCAGUGGAACUAAGUGUUCUCCAUGUAAAACAUGACCAGGAGUAACCUUAGAUGUAUCAUGCCAUCUCUGGAUCGUCCCAGUAGGAUUUAGGGAACAGGGUACAGUUCUAAUCUGGAAGAAUUUUUACCUCACUGGAUUUGGUACUUACAGGUCAACAGCAUAUUUUGCAGUUUUUCUGCUUGAAUGAGUUCUGAAGAGGCUGAGACCCAAGAAGUCCAACUAGGCACAAGUAGGUGACUUCCUUCUUCCUGGUGCCUGCCAGCCUGGCUCUGGUUACAGGAUAACACUGUUGUGUGGCACCGGGAAUGAUGAACAUCCCUGAAGAGCAGACCUGAUUCCCGUCCUCUGGAUCCUGCAGUUGGAUCAGUGAAGAUGAGCCCAAAGCUUCCUGUUCUGCUCAUGCUACUUGGCAAAGACUGAAGACAGAGUUCUUGAUCCACAGUGGCUGCCUCUCCAGGUGUCUGGAGUGUAAGCCUUUAGAAGGCAUGUUCUAAACAUCAGUUCUCAGACUUCUGUCAGUCACUUAUAGGCUUGUUUUAAACUCAGAUUUCUAUUUUUCCCCCUUCCAUAAGGUGUUUAAUUCAGAUGGGUCAAGGAUGAGAUGAGACAGGGAAUUUUCACUUCUGCUAAAUACCUUGGGUAAUUUCUCCUGCAGAUGUCCAGGAUCUGCACUUGAGGGAGCUCUGCCCAGUCACUUCGGAGUUCGGAUUAGGCUCUCAAGAGGGUUUGAAUGUGUUUCCCAAGUCAGAGGACGCUGUUAAUUCACUGUCUAAAACAGAAUGGUAGCAGCUCUCCCAUCAGCUCUAGCACAACACAGCAAUGGGAACUCAAGCCAAGUCCCUUCUGAAGGAACAAUCAGCCCUCUUCACAUCUAGGUGUGGUCCAGACCGCUGGGGUCCAGCUCUCCGCAAGUCUCCAGUACGUCACCUGCUAAAAAGCCGCAGAACAGGAACACAGCAGAGUGCUUUGCUCUGUCUCACAGUCCUGGUAACACUUACUAAUGAGCAGUGAGUUUUACAGGUCUCUACAUGAUCUCAGGACCAGGAUCAAGCAGCAUUUUAUUUAUUUUUUGUCUCUGCCAUUUCUUGGGCUGCUCCCGUGGCAUAUGGAGGUUCCCAGGCUAGGGGUCUAAUCGGAGCUGUAGCCACCAGCCUAUGCCAAAGCCACAGCAACAUGGGAUCCGAGCCGCGUCUGCAACCUACACCACAGCUCAUGACAACGCCGGAUCCUUAACCCGCUGAGCAAGGCCAGGGAUCGAACCCGCAACCUCAUGGUUCCUAGUCUGGUUCGUUAACCACUGCGCCAUGAUGGGAACUCCUCAAACAGCAUUAGAUUUAGAAUCUGAAACUAUUGAUGGAGUUCCCAUUGUGGCUCAGCAGGUUAAGGACCCAACAUUUGUCUCCAUGAGGAUAUGGAUUCAAUCCCUGGCCUCACUCAGUAGGUUAAGGAUCUGGCAUUGCCACAGGCCAAGGCAUAGGUCACAGAUGUGGCGUCGAGCUGCUGUGGCUGUGGCUGUGGCGCAGGCCUCAGCUGUAGCUCCGUUUUGACCCCUAGCCCAGAAACUUCCAUAUGCUGCAGGUGUGGCCCUAAAAAGCAGAAAAAGAAAAAACAAAAAAACCCUGAAAAACAACAAACUAUUGAUGAAGAAUUUAUAAAUAAGAGACAUUUAUGCUUUUCGGGGUGCAGCUGUCACUUCCAUUGUCCAGGCUCUACUAGUCAAUUGGACAAUGGAGGUUUUAGAGCACAGAAAGGAGCACAGCUUGAUUGAUUUUUUUCAGUGCCAGCGAGGAAGUGUUCACUAAAUAUUCGUUGAAAAAAUGACAGUUUUUUUUUUUUUUUAAUCUUUUUGCCUUUUCUGGGGCCGCUCCUGCGGCAUAUGGAGGUUCCCAGGCUAGGUGUUUAAUCGGAGCUGUUGCUGCCGGCCUACGCCAGAGCCACAGCAACACCAGAUCCGAGCUGCGUCUGCGACCUACACCAGCUCAGAGCAACGCGGGAUCCUUAACCCACUGAGCAAGGCCAGGGAUCGAACCCGCAACCUCAUGGUUCCUAGCCGGAUUUGUUAACCACUGAGCCAGGACAGGAACUCCAAAUGAAGACAGUAUUAAAGCACACAAGGUCAGAUGUGUUCCUGUUUCCUUUGGCUAAUGGAGAUGUGAUGGGGUAGUUUAUUCAGUUAGUCAGGCUCUGUUACACAGAGGUUGCAGUGCAGAAGGUCAUAAGUGAUUUUUGAUGAGAUUCUCCACCUUUCAUUUUAAAUUUAUAAUCUUCCCUAAUAAGAGAUCAGGAGCGAUUAAUGGGAUUCUGUCCUACCAUGGCAUUGGAUAUGUAUAUAGUCAUCUCAUCUGAGCUUAUAACAGCCUUUUGACACACAGGAGAGCUUGGGACAAGAAGUGGACUUGGAGAGGCCGGCGCUGCCUUCGAUCUACCCGUGUGAUCUUUGGACAGCACAACCUCAUCUGUGCCAUCCACUCAGCAAACAUUUAUUGAAUGUCUUCUGUGAUGCGUGUUCUAUGGAUUUUUAAUCUAAGGAUUAAAAAUGAGUAUAUAUCCUUACAUAUACCAACAGAAAGUUGGUGAAAAUUUAUGGAACUGCACUGUUUACAAUAGCUACACUUUUCUGUAAUGUGCUGUACUUAAGUUUAAAUUUUAAAUGAAUGAAUACACCACAUCUUCAAAGCUGUGAAUAGUUCUGGCCCUGUAUACACCUAGCUGUCAUAUCUCAAAAAGCUAUAAACUGGCAAGUCAGCUCAGAUUUUUUCCUAAAACCUGAUUAUAGGAAGGAAAUAAGGGAAUGGCAGCACUCAAAGCAAAAACCCAUAGGCUAUGGUCUGGUCCUAUGACUUUUUUUUUUUUUUUUUUUUUUUUUAACCAUGUAAUAAAGUCCCUCAGAGAAUCGUUGGUAGGUUCAAACUAGGUGUAAACUGAAUAAGCAGGAGUUACCAAACUGACCUCCACAAGACCAAAGAUGAUGCCUGCUUGCUAACCCCAGCAGUUCUGGUACCCACGACAGUGCUUGGUACCUAGCAGGCUUGCCAGCUUGUUCAGUAGUUGAAAGGCAGAUACAGAAUCCCUUUCCUUAUGUUCAUGAUAGGAGGCGGUUUUGCCCAGGAACAGGAAAUAACAGCUAUCCAGUCUCCCUUCAAGCCCAAGGAUACACACAUUAUUGCCACUAUUACCACCAUGAAUUAAGUGCUUAUUAUAUGCCAGGCAGUAUUUUGAAGUUAAAUUUGGUCUCCUUUUCUUAAUAGCCCCAGGAGGAAGGUGUCACCCUUUUACAAAUAAACAGGUUCAGGACAAAGGCACAAAAGAAAUGGUGGAGGUGGGAUUCACUCAGAUCUGUGACUUUCAAGACAAUGCUUUUACUACUUUGCAACACUGUUUAGAAUGGGAAACUAUGCAACUAAAACUAAUCCAUACAGAGACCAAAACAAUCUCUCAAAUAUCCACCACAUAUUCACCCACUUGUAACAUGAAACAAUGACCCAACCAUAGGAAAAGAUACCACUGCUGGCAAGUGCAUUUUAUUCUCAUUUUAAUGAGAUUUUCAACAGCUGCCAUUUGGUUUGUAUAGCAAAUUUUUAAAAAAGUAACCUUGUUUCCAUUUUUGAUAUUUUUAUGAAAAUUAUUUAAUUUGAAAGCCCUGCCCCAUCCCCCAAAGAAGUAUUAAUAACUACCAUGUAAUGUGUAUUUAGGAAAAAGAAGAAACGAAAACAGCUUUAAACACUUGAAAAAUAGGGAUGAAGGGCCGAAGUCCAGACCUGGGCCUGUUGGAGGUGCUAAAGCUGCCUGGCACCAUCCACACCUCACCAUCAGCCACACCAGCAGAUGUGUCAGCCGUGCACAGACCCACUGGGAUGACCACAAAGUCCACUCCCUCUCUCCUCUUGACCUCUGCUGGCUGGCCUCUUUUCUUCCAAAUCGGUCUGACAAAGGCAGCAUCACCUUUAAUACAUGUUCAGCUUUGUCAUGGAGAUGACAGAGAAGAGCGUUCAGAGAUUCCUCCAUAAUCAGGGAGGAAAAAGUGUCCAACACAGUACUGAUGGUUUCACUUUCUUCUCUGCUCAAACACAUGCUCAUUAACUUUUUAAAUUAUCAGAGGCUUCAGAAGCCCUGACAGGUAGACAGCACAAAAGUUUCAUAUAAAAAAGAAGUUGCAAAAUUAUAAAAAUUUCUGCAGCGAUUCUGGAGGUUCUGAUGAGCAGUUCUUCUGAAACGCACAGCAGCUUCCCCAUGAGUCCUAUGUUCUGAGGGUUUCAUUUAGAACACAAGAGCUUGAAAUCCAAGUUUAAAAAACUCCCUGCUGACAAAUGUGGUGUAUUGAUGGAACAUUAUUCACAAUAAAAAAGGAGAAAGCUACUAACACAAGUUAGACAUCAUGGAUGAACCUUGAAAAUAUGCCAAGUGAAAAAAGCCAGAUACAAGAGACCACAUUUUGUAUGAUUCCAUUAAGAUGAUGUCCAGAAAAGGCAGACAUAGAUACAAAUUAGUCGUUGCCUAGAGCUAGGAACAGGUAUUAUGUAAAGAUGCAUGAAAGAUCUUAUUGGAGGGAAUGAAAGUGUCCUAAAACUGAGAACUGCAUGGUUGCACCACUCAGGAAAGUUACUAAAAUCACUGAACUGUACACUUGAAAUGGGUGAAUUUUAUAUGUAAGAUGUGCCUCAAUAAAGUUGCUGAAAAAAAAAGUCCCUGCUUCCCAAACCACCCAUUAAGCAUUAAACAUUUCUCAAGGUUCAUAAUCAAUAGGACAGGAUUAUCACUUAGCGUUGAGUUAUGGAGUGAACAUAGUACAUAGUCUAGUAUGUUACUUCAUUAUUUAUAAUAUUAAAAUGAAAGGAAGUCAGUGAGAAGGUAAGAUUGGCAGAAAAAGCUCAGCGGGCUCCACAAAUGAGACUCCAAUAACGAAAUCUAAAGGGGCUUUUUUUUUUUUUUUUUUUUAAGGCUGCAUGUGCGGCACAUGGAGGUUCCCAGGCUAGGGGUCGAACUGGCCUACACCAGAGCCACAGCAAUGCCAGAUCCAAGUUGCAUCUGCGACCUACACCAUAGCUCACGGCAGUGCAGAAUCCUUAACCCACUAAGCGAGACCAGGGAUUGAACCCCAGUCCUCAUGAAUACUAGUGGGGUUCGUUACCACUGCACCACAAUAGAAAUUCUAAAGGGAGCUUUUUCUUUUAGAAUAAAGAUGGCAUGUCUGUCCCUUUGUAGAUUUCUCUUCUGUCCCCCAAGGGUAGGGUGGUGAAUCUCUUGGCUAACACGCUAUUGAGAUCACUGACCUAUUGUAUGACCCUCCUCUCCCUGCAAAUCCAGACUGGGGACAACAGUAGGGGGUUGGGCAGUGAGGGCAGAGGCCAAACAGCAAGCAGAAAACUUGAGUGUUUCCUUGGUCAGCCUCCUGUCCCCUGUCCUUUGUCACUAAGUGCACCUUCAAGAUGGAAGAAAUAAAGACAGAAGAUUAAAAACAAAGGCAAAAAAAAAAAAAAAAAAGAAAAGAAAAAGCCUUCAAGAUUGUGACUAACCACGUCUGUGGGUGAAAUUCACAAAGCAGUAGAGCAGUGGCUACAGAAAGUACUCUGCUACUGACUACCCACGUGCCAGAAUUAAUGAUCUCUGUGUGCAAUGAGAGGGGAAAUGAUUCACAUGGGGGUGCUGGAGGCAGAGGCAGGAGGAGAUCAAGGUUCCCAAGGUUCACCAGAUCCUUGUCAACCCUGUUCUCUUUACCCGCUUCCCAAACUACUGAGGGCUGCGAUUAGACCAGGGGAGGGUGGCUGGGGAUAGAGCCUUUCCCAAAAGGUGCAUGUCUCCAAAUCCUGCUCAGAUCUGUCAGGUCUCUGCCUAAUCUCAGAACUCAGCAUAUCCUAAACCAAGCAACGUUAUUAACUUGUGACGCCGGGACCCUUAUCCAAGAACACCUGUCCCCUCCAAUCCCAGCAGUGCAGAUUCCUCGGCUCUUGAUGUGUGUAAAUGGGCUCUGCAGCAGCACUAAUGCAAGAAGAUCCAAGACGCAGUCAAGCUGUUUGCUUUGGCUGCCUCUUCACACAACUUCCCUCUCUUGACAUGUACUAAAUUCCACUCUGAGGUCAGAGUGUUUGACUGACCUUACUUCCCAGCCUCUCCAAAAUCAAGACAGAACUUUGACAUUACGGCAAUACACAAUUUGAAAAAUGCUGAUUAUUUCACUAAAGACAUUUAGUACUGUAACUGUAAUUAAAGAGAUCCUGGCUGUUUUGAUUUGGGAAACUAAAGGUGUUGCAAAAGUCGAGCCUUUUUCUUACCAUCUUUUUGGGUCUGACCUUAUAGGAUCCCCAAAAUCAAAUGCUGUGGUGGAAAACUUGUCCAAAGACCCAGAGCUGCAGGUGCCUAGGCUGUAUCCAUCAAGUGUUCUGCUACAGUUCAAAGGGCUGGAGAAACUGAAAACGUAUUUCUUUUUUUCCUCCCCCUUGAAGAGCAAGAGAUAAAAAUGAUUUUCAUUUUGGAGUUUUAGAGUCCAGUAAUCACAAAAGUCAGAAAUCAAUCACUAACAAAGUUGACACUUGGACCAGCCAGAAUUGGCAACUGGCAAUAUUCUCUUUUUUUUUUUAAGGGCCUCACCUACGGCAUAUAGAAGUUCCCAGGCCAGGGGUCAAAUCGGAGCUGCAGCUGCUGGCCUAUGCCAUAGCCACAGCAACGUGGGAUCCAAGCCUCGUCUGCAACCUACACUACCACUCACGACAACACUGGAUCCUUAACCCACUGAGCGAGGCCAGGGAUUGACCCCACUUGGAUACUAGUCGGAUUCAUUUCCACUGUACCACAAUGGGAACUCCAGCAAUAUUGUUUCAAAAUUCCAGUUG